ensembl:lncRNA
GUGGAUUUCCACGCGGAAAGGAUGGUGGCCGUCCGGGUGACCUGCGGAGACACGGCCGGAUCCACCUUCCACUUCCUGUGAUGGCUGUGGUGUAAUCUGAAAAAAAGCAGAUCCGUUCAGAACUCCAGAAGGACUUGAAAACUGUCCUGCCCCGAACGAAAGCUGGAAUAUCGUGGGCUUUGAUGAACCAAGGAAAAGUGCCUUCAUCAGGACGCAGCAGUAAGCCUGCUGACUACUUAAGCCCUGCCUAGGUUCCUAGGAAAUGGGCAGGAAAAGUGCCUGCCACCUGCUGCUUGCUGGUGUGCUGUUUUGGCAGCAGGAGCUGUGGGAACACACAGGGGCAGGAGAACAAACACAUUACACACGAGGACUUCCAUCCUCCAGCCAGCAAGGUGCCGACACCUCACACUUGACACCUGCUGAGCGCCCUACUGUGUGCCCCGCCCCCCUGAACGAGGCAGCCUCGGAGCUUGGAUCCUAGUUGGAGAGACAGGCAAUUAGCAGGAUGGCAGAUCCACAUCCAGGUCCUGUGGCUAUAGAAGUGAGCACUCAGACCAGGAAAUGUCCCCACAUUCCUGGAAUUCAUGUCCUGGCGGGAGAGAGAAAACAUGCCCUGUGUCAGUCACCUUACAUGGACAUUCUCAUUUCUUCCAGAAAAUAACUGUAUUCAGUACAGAAUACCAGUAUCCCCAUCUUGCAGACAGCUCCAUGAAGUGGGUCCCAGUAUCCUUCCUCUGAUACCCGUCAUCCACGAGAGAUAACUGAGAUAUCAACAGAUGACGUCAUGCCCUCAGGGUCAAGCAGUGAAUGGAGCUGGGGUGGGAACCCAUGGCGGCUUGUGUUACACACCUACUGCACGCCUCGCUUGACUUCAUACCACAGAUCUGUCUCCUCUACCAGAUGUUUACAGGCAAUAAGAGACUUGGGGAAUGUCUGGGGUCCUAAGAGUAACCAAGACAUCUGAAGUGCAUAGAUCUGAAGUUCUUCUUUUUAUAAAAAUGAGUACUCAUUAAUUUUGUGUCUCCUACAUGCAAGGACUUCACCCAGCCGAUGUCAAAGUCUAACAGCUUCUCUCCAGUAUGGGAGCCAUUCCACCUGUUUGGCCACAGAGGAAAUGGAGGCUUUGGGAGGCUCAAUCACUUGCCAAGUGCUCCUAAGCUACUCGGUGGGGAACAGGGCUUCAAAUGGGGGUCUAUGCAGUACCUGAGCCGGUGUGAGCUCCACUGUGAGAUCUUCCCCCUGGUUUUCAAGUCUACACACAUUGCCCCCAUUUAAUAGGAAAAACUACACGGCAAAAAUCUCUAGGAAGAUAAAAUAACAUCUAGAAAGGUCAAAGCUUUGAUGACAACCCAAACAGCCAUACUAAGUGUUUAUGGUCAAGACUACUGCUUAGAGUGUCAUUCUUUCUCUCUCUCUCUUUUUUUGUCUUCUAGGGCCAUGCCUGUGGCAUAUGGGGCACAGCAAACAAAUCCCAGCCUAGGGGUUUAAUUGGAGCUGUAGCCACCGGCCUACGCCAGAGCCACAGCAACUCCGGAGCCAAGCCGUAUCUGUGACCUAUACCACAGUUCAGGGCAAUGCCGGAUCCUUAACCCACUUGAGUGAGGCCAGGGAUCGAACCUGAAACCUUAGGGUUCCUAGUUGGAUUCGUUAACCUCUGGGCCACCAUGGGAACUCUUUGUUUCUUUGUUUCUUUCUUUGUUUCUUUCUUUCUUUCUUUGGUCUCACUCAGGGCAUAUGGAAAUUCCUAGGCUAGGGGUUGAAUCAGAGCUGUAGCUGUUGGCCUACAACACAGCCACAGCAAUGCCAGAUCCUUUAACCCACUGAGCAAGGCCAGGGAUUGAACCUGCCUCCUCAUGGAUACUAGUCUGGCUCAUUACUGCUAAGCGAUGAUGGGAACUCCUAGAAUAUCAUUCUUCAAGGGCUGGUUUCAAGUAUAUGUAGUCAGCGAUGUCAUAUAGGACCCCCCUGUUUUUGUAAUGUUCUGCUGUUGCCCUCUUGAAAUUCUCAAUAAUUUUAUCUUUGAUCUUGAGUUUUAUAAGUGAAGUCUGGAGGGCUAUGGAACAUGUAAGUGAUCAGGGGAAACAGGCACAGUAUCCUCUCUGUGGACUCUUGCCACCCCAUUCGCACAUCAUGUUUGCUGUGCCCCAUGAUUCUGGUGGACCCUCCAUGCAUGGGUGUUUCCAUGAUUCUGAUGGACCCAGCAUGCAUGGGACUUUCCAGCACCAGGUGUGUGUGUUAUGGAAGCUGCCACUGCCAUUGACUGUUGGCAUAAUGUGUGUAUUUGAGGAGGGGAAAUAAACAUGAUUGAGUUCAUUUUAUGCAGUGUUUUCACUGUUCUGGUGAGAAUGAAGUACAUAUGGAUGUAUGAGCUAUAAAAUACAUAUUGUGUAAUUUUGGCGAUUCUGCACAUGAGCAUUUAAAGCUGGCAUUACACGAUCUAAAGAUGAAUUGUAAAAUUCAUGCUAAUAAUUAAAACCUUUAAUUAUGCUUU